rnacentral:rRNA from 1 species
AUUGAACGCUGGCGGCAGGCCUAACACAUGCAAGUCGAGCGGAUGAAGGGAGCUUGCUCCUGGAUUCAGCGGCGGACGGGUGAGUAAUGCCUAGGAAUCUGCCUGGUAGUGGGGGAUAACGUCCGGAAACGGGCGCUAAUACCGCAUACGUCCUGAGGGAGAAAGUGGGGGAUCUUCGGACCUCACGCUAUCAGAUGAGCCUAGGUCGGAUUAGCUAGUUGGUGGGGUAAAGGCCUACCAAGGCGACGAUCCGUAACUGGUCUGAGAGGAUGAUCAGUCAAAAUGGAACUGAGAACAGGUCCAGAAUCCUAAGGGAGGCCGGCGUGGGGAAUAUUGGACAAUGGGGGAAAGCCUGAUCCAGCCAUGGCGGGUGUGUGAAGAAGGGCCUCGGAUUGUAAAGCCAUUUUAGUUGGGAGGAAGGACAGUAAGUUAAUACCUUGCUGUUUUGACGUUACCAACAGAAUAAGCACCGGCUAACUUCGUG